AACGAACGCUGGCGGCAUGCCUAACACAUGCAAGUCGAACGAGACCUUCGGGUCGAGUGGCGCACGGGUGCGUAACGCGUGGGAACCUGCCUUUAGGUUCGGAAUAACUCAGAGAAAUUUGAGCUAAUACCGGAUGAUGUCUUCGGACCAAAGAUUUAUCGCCUUUAGAUGGGCCCGCGUUGGAUUAGCUAGUUGGUGGGGUAAAGGCCUACCAAGGCGACGAUCCAUAGCUGGUCUGAGAGGAUGAUCAGCCACACUGGGACUGAGACACGGCCCAGACUCCUACGGGAGGCAGCAGUGGGGAAUAUUGGACAAUGGGCGAAAGCCUGAUCCAGCAAUGCCGCGUGAGUGAUGAAGGCCUUAGGGUUGUAAAGCUCUUUUACCCGAGAUGAUAAUGACAGUAUCGGGAGAAUAAGCUCCGGCUAACUCCGUG
rnacentral:rRNA from 1 species